rnacentral:misc_RNA from 1 species
GAGGAGCUGGCGCUGAUCUAGGCAUCACGAGUGAUGCAUGAAUGAGCUCGAACGUCCCGGUGUGUGUGGGCGAUGGCGCCACGCUAUCCGCCUGCAUACUUGCAGCAUUGGAAGAGCGCGGUGAUGACGAGGUGAUGUUCGCACUUCUCCGGCACCGCCACUGCGGCUACUCGAAGGCGGCGCGACUAGAAGGCAGUAGCGGUGCCGUCGAUGGCAGCGAGGCGUCCAUCACUGCAGAGCGCGUGACCAAACGAGCAUGGUGUGCGUUCGUGGAGCUGCUGAAGCGGCGGAUCAUCACCUCCUCGCACGAUCGGCGUUCAUUACCACUUGCGGGGGGGGCACACGGCACGCCGGGUGAUGAGCGUGGUGCGGAGGAUGAGUGUGAUGUUGGGGUUUACAGUCAAGAGACCUUCUACACAUGCUUGGUGGAAAGCGUCUGCUUGUGCAUGGGCUGGACUUUUUGCCUGUUUCGCCCAGAUGAUCCACCCUUGCGACUGCAGCGGCUGGAGCAACGUCGGAGGCCGCGCUGCAAGCUGCGCUCAGAAGAUAUCUCGUCGUUGCUUCACGAGGCGCUCUCGGCAGAAGAGAACAGCGCUUGCAACGGAAAACUCCAGAUGGCGGAGGUGGGCACCGCGACACCGACGCGGCUGCCGGUGGUACAUGUAGACGACAGCCGCGUCGCCUACUACAUAUACACCUCCGGCUCAACAGGGGACCCAAAGUGUGUAGUAGCCUCGCGAGGCAAUCUGCGAGCAUACCUGCAGCGCUUCAUUCUCGAUAAGGAUGGCCUCGCCGUGGGCGAUGCAUGCUGUCGCUUCUUUUGCCUCUCCUCCCCGUUCUUUGAUCCGUCUAUCGGUGACAUGCUCGUGGGGCUCUGCACGCCUCACAGCAUCUUCUACACAUGCACUCAGGAGGACCUCCUCAACGGCCAGGCUGCGCCGCUGCUGGCCUGCGUGCAACCGACUCACGUGGUGAGCACUCCAGCGGUUUGGUCUUCUCUCACCACCGCUGGUCAUCUACUGUCGGUGCUCCCUUCCUCGACUGCUCCAAUGAAGGUGUUUCUCGGCGGUGAACGCAUGUCUCAGGCGCUGAUCAGCACCUGGGCUGACAGGGCAGAGCUGUACAACAUCUACGGCGUGACUGAGGCCACCAUAUACCAGUCGGUGUGGCGCGUUUUUCCAGGCACAAGGGCAGAGCACGUGAAGUGCGGUCCCGGGGUGGGCACACGGGUUCGUGUCCAAAGGCUGGAUGCUGCAUCCGACGUGCUUCUCGGCGACAGCGACGCUUUCGCAUUGGAAGAAGGCUUGCUCCAGGAGCUUGGUGAGUCUGCAGGCGACGACUACGGGGAAGUUGUCCUUUGCGGAGAUCAAGUGUGCUGUGGAUACGCGGAGGAUAGCACGUCGUCACCCUUCGGCUGCGACGCCGCCACUGGCGAGCGCUUCUUUCGCACAGGGGAUAUCGGGCGACUUGUUUCGACAGGUGAGGGAGGUCCGCCGGAUCUGGAGCUGCGUGGUCGUCGGGACUGGGAGAUGAAGUUGAACGGUCAACGCGUGGCUUUGGAGGAGGUGGAGGGCACCGUUCAGCGGGCGCUAGCUGGUCUUUUUUCGCAGUGCGCCUGCUUUUGCGUGCAAUCCGCGUCAGGCACACCAGCCAUUGGUGCGGCGGUUGUGCUGACAGACGUUGUCGAUGGGGGACUCUUGAGAGAUCACAGGGAGGGCGUGGCUGCCGCGUUGCAGGAACUGCUUGCGCUGCACCUGCCCUCUUUCAUGGUGCCGCGUCGCUGGCUGUUGUUCACCAACGGAGCUUCCUUGCCGCAGACGCCGACGGGCAAGGUGAGCCGCACCCAGCUUGCCGUCGACGCUGUCCAAGAGCAACAAGAAGAGCUUGAUGCUCAGCUCAAUGAAAAAAAUGAUGGCUGCUGCAGAGAGGAGGAUGAGCUCUACAGAGUAGUGCAGUCUGUGUGGCAAAGGAUGCUGGGUAUGCCGGUUCGCUGUGACACUCACUACCUUCACGCCGGGGGUGACUCGCUUGGUGCUCUAAAGCUCAGCCGCGCCGUGUAUCUCGGGCUCCACGCCGGCUCCGAUGCCGGGAUCGACGAGCAUGGUAGGCUGCCUCCUCCUUUCCAGCCCUGCGUGUUGCUCCAGCACCCCCGCUUCGGCGACUAUGUGCAGGCUUUGCGCGAGGCGUGGGCAAAAGCUCCUCUUAAUGGUGAGUCGAAGCCGGAGAACGGCGAGACAGUGACGGCGUUGCCACUCCUUUUGCAACCUCCGCAAGUUCUCAGCCCUGCAGAGGCAGCUGCUGAUUCCCUUUUCCGUGAAGUAGUUGCCGUUCAGUGCGCCGGGAUUGCUGACCGCCUUCUUCGCCAUGGCCUCGCCGACGUCAACGGACACAACCGUCGAGAACACCGCUGUACCACUCCCCUGCAUGUGGCUGUUGCGAGUUGCUGCUCGCUGGAGCAGGAAUUGGCGACAUUGCGUGUGGUGGAGGUGCUGUUGCAGCACGGUGCCAGGCUUACCGCCGUGACGCUGGAUGGCGUGACUGCUGCUCAUUUGGCGGCAAGCAGGUCCGCCGCUAUUCUUCGGCGUCUGCUAGAGCACGAUCAGGCUGUGGUUCAUUGCCGUGACGCCCGUCAGCAGUCACUAUUGCACUUCGCGGCACGUAGCGGCAACGCUGAGACGGCUCGUCUUCUUCGCCAAUACGGUCUGAAAAUAGAUACGAGAGACAAGUGGCAGCGGACGCCGGCGCACUGGGCCGUUUUGAAUGGGCACACAGCGGUGCUGGAGGAGAUGGCGUUGUACUGUACCUCUUCGGCAACCACUAUCUCCGCCGCAGCGGCCACCAGGGCUCCAGAGCCGAACGAUGUGGGCGCGAAGCGGAGACGCUGCCCAGGCAAUGAGACGGCUCGCUUUACGCGACUGGCACGCAAAAAGACGUACCUGGCCUACGAGACUCUUCACGAGAUAGCGAGGCGUCUGCACCCGACGGACCAUCGUAUUAAGCGACUGUGCGAUAUUCUGGCACCCUCAGUGGGUGAAGCUUCUGCGACAGAAUAGCAAAAGGGUUUGCACAUACACAGCAGGUGAAAAAAAGGAAAUUCACUCAGCAAGUCAAGGCGCUACAAGCGAAAGCUCACUCAACGAGCAGCCCGAUGCGAAUGAGAGGAGUGCGCUCUUCCUCUUCCCUCCUUUCUUGCACUGGAGGAGUCAGAGCGCGCGAUGUCAGCUGUCUCUUCGUCGUCCGUGAGCAGUGAGCAUUCUCUUAGGCAACCCACCGCUGAGGUACUGUAUCUUUCUCUCAUGCCACCUUCACGCCCUUUUUUUUUGCAUCUCUCACGCUUUUUGUUUCGCCGCGAACAACAAAACGCCUGCUUGGGUGCCUGCUGCUGCUGCCGCCGCCGGCUACAG